rnacentral:rRNA from 1 species
GAUGAACGCUGGCGGCGUGCCUAAUACAUGCAAGUCGAGCGAACAGACGAGGAGCUUGCUCCUCUGACGUUAGCGGCGGACGGGUGAGUAACACGUGGAUAACCUACUUAUAAGACUGGGAUAACUUCGGGAAACCGGAGCUAAUACCGGAUAAUAUAUUGAACCGCAUGGUUCAAUAGUGAAAGACGGUUUUGCUGUCACUUAUAGAUGGAUCCGCGCCGCAUUAGCUAGUUGGUAAGGUAACGGCCUACCAAGGCGACGAUGCGUAGCCGACCUGAGAGGGUGAUCCGCCACACUGGAACUGAGACACGGUCCAGACUCCUACGGGAGGCAGCAGUAGGGAAUCUUCCGCAAUGGGCGAAAGCCUGACGGAGCAACGCCGCGUGAGUGAUGAAGGUCUUCGGAUCGUAAAACUCUGUUAUUAGGGAAGAACAAAUGUGUAAGUAACUAUGCACGUCUUGACGGUACCUAAUCAGAAAGCCACGGCUAACUACGUG